rnacentral:rRNA from 1 species
CCUCGUGAGUAAAGUGGCGUACGGGUGAGUAACACGUGGAUUAUCUACCUUCUAGUGGGGGAUAACCCUGGGAAACCGGGGCUAAUACCGCAUAAGCUCGAGAGAGGAAAGCAGCAAUGCGCUGGAAGAGGAGUCCGCGGCCGAUUAGCUAGUUGGUAGGGUAAAAGCCUACCAAGGCAACGAUCGGUAGCCGGCCUGAGAGGGCACACGGCCACACUGGCACUGAAACACGGGCCAG